rnacentral:rRNA from 1 species
AACGAACGCUGGCGGCAGGCUUAACACAUGCAAGUCGAACGAGCUGGGGGCUUCGGUCCCCGAUGCUAGUGGCGCACGGGUGAGUAACACGUGGGAAUAUGCCCUUUAGUACGGAAUAACCAAGGGAAACUUUGGCUAAUACCGUAUACGCCCUUCGGGGGAAAGAUUUAUCGCUAAAGGAUUAGCCCGCGUCUGAUUAGGUAGUUGGUGAGGUAAUGGCUCACCAAGCCGACGAUCAGUAGCUGGUCUGAGAGGAUGAUCAGCCACACUGGGACUGAGACACGCCCGAGCCCCCUCGGGGAGGCAGAGGGGGGGAAUAUGGGAAAAGGGGGCCACCCCUGCCCCCCCCAGGCGGGGGGAGGAAAGAAGCCUUUCGGUUUAAAAGCCCCUUCCGAGGGGGACGAUGAUGAGGUUCCCCGAAUAAGAGCCCCCGGAAACCUUCGUC